UUUGGAGGGGCAAGUCUGGUGCCAGCAGCCGCGGUAAUUCCAGCUCCAAUAGCGUAUAUUAAAGUUGUUGCAGUUAAAAAGCUCGUAGUUGAACCUUGGGCCUGGCUGGCCGGUCCGCCUCACCGCGUGUACUGGUCCGGCCGGGCCUUUCCUUCUGGGGAACCUCAUGCCCUUCACUGGGCGUGUUGGGGAACCAGGACUUUUACUUUGAAAAAAUUAGAGUGUUCAAAGCAGGCCUUUGCUCGAAUACAUUAGCAUGGAAUAAUAGAAUAGGACGUGUGGUUCUAUUUUGUUGGUUUCUAGGACCGCCGUAAUGAUUAAUAGGGAUAGUCGGGGGCAUCAGUAUUCAAUCGUCAGAGGUGAAAUUCUUGGAUUGAUUGAAGACUAACUACUGCGAAAGCAUUUGCCAAGGAUGUUUUCAUUAAUCAGUGAACGAAAGUUAGGGGAUCGAAGACGAUCAGAUACCGUCGUAGUCUUAACCAUAAACUAUGCCGACUAGGGAUCGG
rnacentral:rRNA from 1 species